UGACUGCAUUAAACUUGAGAUUGAGAGAAGCUAAAGGUAAUUUUUUCCUACGGUCCCCUUGGCCGUGGUAAGUUAUCGAGCGCUUAACACUAUGUACUUCUUUUCCUGUUGUAAACUUUGAUAAGUAAUACCUGGACUUUUUUGGCCUGGUUUAUAUUAAUUUUUGUUAAUGUUUUUACAGGAAACAUUUGAGACGGACAACUUGAGACAAAUUAUUUACAUGGAAGAGGUCUUAAGCCGGAGAAAGUGAACCUGGCAAACCCGGCAAGCGCAGCGUUUGUAAUCUCCAAAACAAUUGCAGUUGAAGUAAACAUAAACUCAUUUUGUUUGGCUUUUAAAUACUUUCUCGGCAGUCGGCAUUGACUUAAUGAUUAAUUAAUCAAAAGUAUUAAUCGGUUGACUGAUUCAUUGAGGUCUGAGAAGGUGAAGGUAGGUUGACCAGAAAAAAACGAGUGGAAAGUAAACGUGAAUGAAAGCCUGAUGUCUCGGGUGUCCACAACACAAAUCGCAACAAUUAAUAAGCUUACUAUGAAUAAAAUGUCGGUCAAGUGCAGGUUAAAAGUAGCCUUGGACUUUUGCACGGUCACAUUUGACGGGAUUCAAAUAUUCGUCACUGAUUUAAAGAAUGGCACAAAUGUGGAUUUUGAUUUGCAAAGUCAGAAUGCACAAACGAAAGAAGUAAAUGUAUGCCGAUAAAAAUUCCCAAAAAUACAUCCGGGAUCGUAGCUCAGGUCCUAAUCAUGGAGAAAUAGAGGUCAGCCGGCCUAUCUGGACCAAGUUUCAGCAUGAUUAGAAAAUUAAUCGAAUCUUGCGAUAACAAUAACAACCAGAUCAUGGGAGGAUCCAGUAGCUUCCAAGGAGGCGGCGGCCUAAAAGUGAAAGCUAUUAAGUUCACAGGAUCGUUUGAAUGAAUUGCCAAAUGACUUAUGUCGAUGACGAGUUGGCGAUUCAGGGACACGAAUUAUUAGAAAGGUUAAUUCCAUCAUCGCCCUCAACAUCCUUUCCGAAUGAUGUAAUUACAUCCAGGACUCACCAAUUUCGCACAAACAACAUCGAUUGGACAUCAAACACCAACGUCUUCAUGGUCCAUACACGACACGACAUGCGACUAGAUAGCAAGUUAUCGAAGUUUGUAGUCCUCACCUCAGAUUCAGAAUCAGAUUGAAUAUUAAAAUCUACUGGUAUUAAUCCUUAAAACUUAUUGGGUUAGUGGUAUUCAAAUUUUAUAAUUUGGUAAUGUUUUUUUUAGUAAUCGAGAAAUUCUGUUUUGAAUUCAUUGCUACAAUCUACUACAAGAUUUUCGAGAAUGAUUCACUAAUUUGUUUUUAACGAAAUAAACUAUGUAACAUUUAUAAAAUGAUAUAUGUAUGCAUUUUACAGAAUAAAGAGAACUGUAAAA